CAUCCAUUUUAGUUUGACUCUGCUGAGACUACCAGCUACCUAGGCUAGCGAUGAGAAGCACCUACAGAGAUGAGCAAACUUAUCAACAUUCCAUAACCUCCUAAGAAUUUUACUUGGCCAGUCAAGCAAGGAGACUCUGCAACAUUGAUUUCAUCUACAAGGCUCAAGACCAUUUGACAUCGACAAUAAGACCGUUCAAUCAAUGUGGAACAGCUCCAAUCAACAGUGCUCCACUUGAAGGAAUCGUCAAAACAAGUAGAUCUAAAAGAUUCAUAUAAUAACAUAAGUGAAGGAUUGAGGAACACCAGGGCAUCCCGUCAUAGGUAAUAAGGAACCGUGUGUCAUGAUCACUUGAUUCCUUGAAGUCUGGAACAAAGCAUACCUAACACGACCAUGAAUGAGCCCAUCUCUGGUGAAAGCCAACAAAAUCACACAAUCCAAUUGCUCUAAAAUGAAGUAAGACAACAGAAUAUGGCGAAAGAUUGCAAGAGCAAAACUUGUCCAUCAAGGAUAUACUACCUCCUCCUACAAUUCUGCUUGAAGCUUUCUUUGAAAAUUGCCAAUAACUCAAGCCUCAGACAUCAACUGUGCUGACUCAUGAGACUUUUCUUGUCAGAAGGCUCUUCCAACAAAACAAAUACCUUCAAGUUGACUAGAUGAUUCCAUAAUGUACAUCUGCUGAGGACAGACAUAUAUGUCCUUAAGUAAGAACCUUCAUGAAGAAGGUAUUUAUCCAGGCUAAUUGACCAACUUUUUCAUUUAUUCCACAUGUUAUGCAAGAGUCAACACAAAUCGAAUUGUCUUCAUGAUUCUAGUCCAAAUUUUCCCAUUUCAGGCGGUAUGAGCAUAUGCCUCUUCCAUGUGCAUGAAUCAAAUGGGUGGGUUAAGUUGGAGGGAGGCAUGGAGAGAAUGAGAGGAAUAAUCUUUCUUUUUUAAGCCUAGAAUUAUAGCCAAAGCUCCACUAAACGGAAUCAUAGCUCACAUCCAAGGAAUUUUGCCUACACAAACAGUUAAGGAAGCAACCACUUCAUUUGUGUUUCAUGAAACAAGUAAAUUCUGCCAUCUAUUGCCAUGGCGGACUGUUGCUUUAGAACAACACGUUGAUCUAUUGUUAAUCAUUGCAAAUGCUACUUUAGUAAUCCUCUUCCGACAGCAAUCAUCAGCAAUAGGAAUCUUGUUCCAUUUCAUGUACACUAGCCUAUAUGAACCAGCCUCUCUUCUGUGCCAUGGUCCACCAUCUUGAUUAAAUCUCCUUUCAUUGUGCAGGGGGAAAAAAGGCAGAGCAUGAGCAUAGAGAUCCCAGAAUUCUACUUUGAAACCCAAACUACAGUAUCCGCAUUAUGCAUUUAUCUUAGAUAUGUUCAAAAGCCGACCAUUCUAGCAGAUAUUUCCCAAUGUUCUCAAUUUGCUACAUUGCAUGAGAACCAGGAUCUAGGGUAAAGGUCAGAAAGCUUGUCACUCGAAUGAGCAAAAGACUUCAAACCUAUACAUCUGGAGAAGGCAGAUCUAGUGCUGCGAAGGGGCUCCUGUUCGUCUUGGGGAUGGCAAAGUAUCUUGACAGGAAGGGAUCACGGUAGGAGACGGGACUGAAAUCAGAAUAAGAAAAGAUAACUGGCUAAGAUCUGGAGUCAUUGGUGGCGAGGCAGCCCCCCAACUAGUGGCAGGCUUAAUUGACAAAGAGGAAUUCAAGUGGAAAGAGCAUAUGAUUAAUGGGAUAUUUGACGAAAGAACUACGAACGAAAUCCUAGCUGUUCCUAUCAGUUCAACCAUGGACAAAGACAAGAUGGUUUGGACAUGCACAACCUCAAGCUCUAACUCAGUGAAAAGUGCCUACCAUCACUUAAUGUCAACAGAAACAAAGCAGCAAGCAGAACAACUAACAUCCUCAUAUCAAACACCCAGAUACCAAUGGAAAUUGAUUUGGAACAUGAAUGUUAACACAAAAAUGAGGCUCUUUACUGGAACGUGUGCCAAAAUGCAAUCCCAUCUUUAGAGAACUUGUUCAAACGGAAAGUCUUACCUGAACCCAUCUGCCCCCUUUGCCAAAAGACCCAAGAAACAGUUGAGCAUAUUUUUCAAUGAUGCGACUGGACUCGUGAGGUCUGGAAUCACCCAAAAUUAGAUAUCAGAAUCACGGGCAAGGAGCUCAGUCACAUGGAGGAGACGAUUCUACAAUGAGGUAACCCAAAUGCAAACUCACUUUCACAAGAUUUGGUAGCAGGGGUUCUCUGGAACAUUUGGAAGGCUUGGAACCAUUUCAUCUUGCGCCAUCAAAAACCAGGUUAGAGUAGCAUAGUGGAAGCGACCAUGGCUGCACAAAAGAACUUUGAGAGAUGGAAUUAUAGAAGGCAAAAACGAACACAGCAGCAGGAACUCUUACCCGAGAUGUGAAACCCAUCGAGAAGGGGUUGGCUGAAGAUCAACGUUGGCGGGUCUCUAGUGGACGGACAAACCGCGGGAAGCGUUGCCGGGAUAUGCGGAGACGAAGCUGGGAGAGUGGAGAAUCAUUUAUUUUGCAUUUCUCAAUCUAUACAAUUACCUUCGGCAUGUUAUCAGGUGCCCUUAUACAUUAGGUUUUUUUUUCAGUAAUUCCAGAAUUGCAGAAUCAAUCAGACGUGGAGAAUCUUUAUUUUUUUGCAUCGGAUGAAGAAUCUUACCCGAAGACUAAUGACAAAUGAUUCACUUAGAAGACUUUUUGAUUUACUUCCGAUACUAGCAUGAUGUGCAAAAAUAUCAUGCCAAAGCACACAUUAACUUCUAGGAACAUCUCCUCUGGAUUCCUAGAAAUCAAAGAAGAUAAUUAUAAAACUGCCAACCAUGAUAUACUAAUAAAAAGGUAACAAAUCUUAAAAGAAAAUGCAAACAAGAAACACAAAUGAAAAUUGGGCAGUAAAUCUCAAAAGAGAAAGAGGGAGCUUCCCUACUUUAUGUACCUUUAUUAGGAAAUGUGGAUCAUCUCAAUUAUUCCGACUCAUCCCAUCCUAGUUAUCUCGUCCAAAUAUCUUCAGACCUUUGGGUAUUUGGAUGGUUGAGCCUUCCAAUUUAACUUUAGUCAAACAUUCCAACCCAUCGAGACCUAGAAUUUCGACUAAGUUGUUGCAAUUUUGAGCAAUUAACAUCUUUAGACCCUUGGAUUUUGAAAGAUCCAGCUUUUUAAUUGAAGUGCACGAGAUAUUAAGCUUUUCCAAUGACUUCAACCAUUGGAGACCUCGAAUUUCAACUAGGUUUUUGCAAUUUUUAGCAUCUAGUACCUUCAGAUCCUCAGAUUUUGGAAGGUCUAGCCUUUUAAUUGAAGAACACUCAAAGAAAAGUAACUCCUUCACGGACCCUAAAAUAUGGAGAUGUUCAAUUUCGAUUAAGUUUUUGCAAUAUUGAACAUGCAAUAUCUUCAAACUCCCGGAUUUUGAAAGGUCCAACCUUUCAAUUGAAGUGCACCUGACAAUAGAUAACUUCUCUAACAACUUCAGCUUAUCAAGGCCUUGAAUUUCGAUUAAGUUUUGGCAAAAUUGAGCACUUAAUUUCUUCAUGCACUUAGAUUUUGGAAGGUCCAAUCUUUCAAUUAAAGCACACUUGACGAAACAGAGCUCUUCUAGGAAUUCCAGCCAAUUGAGGCCUUGAAUUUCAACUAAGUUUUGGCAAUUUUGAACAUUCAAUAUUUUCAGACCCUUGGGUUUUGAAAGGUCCAACCUUUCAAGUGAAGUGCACUCAACGAUAGAUAUCUUUGCCAAGAAGUCCAACUUAUCAAUGCCUAGAAUUUCCACUGAGUGUUUGCAAUUUUCUACAUGUAAUAUCUUUAGACCCCCAAACUUCGGAAGGUCUAACCUUUCAAUUGAAGCACACUCGAGGACACAUAAUUCUUCCAAGAGCUGCAACUUAUCGAGGUCAUGAAUUUCGACUAAGCUUUGACAACGUUGAACAUGUAAUUUUUUCAUGUCCUUCGAUUUUGGAAGGUCCAACCUUUCAAUUAAAGUGCACUUAGAGAUGCAUAGCUCUUCCAAGUACUCUAACCUAUCGAGGCCUUGAAUUUCAAUUAAGCUGUUGCAAUUCUCAAUUUCUAGUUUUCUCAUGCCUUUGGAUUUUGGAAACCUUUCAAUUGACCCUUUGAUGGUCAUGCUUUCCAAAUAUUUCAAUUUGUCAAGACGGGAAAAUUCACGUAUAUUACAACAACCUUGGGCAGAUAAUGUCUUCAGAUGGUUCAAUUGUGAAACAUCCAGUGUGUCCAUUGAUUCGCAAAACAAGAUUUCUGACAAAUCUAACUUGAAGGGAGUGUUUAGAGAUCGUUGGGAACAUUCUGAAAACUCUAGUAGUGUUGAUGGGAGCUCCAAGAUGCACUUGAGAAUUUUGUAGUUGAGAAGGUGUAGUUGCUUGAGAUUGGUUAAGUGCGAAAGUGAAGUCAUCUUGAAACUUUGACAGGUGACACUCAAAUAUGUUAAGCUGGAAGGAAGCUCCGGCAGCCAUUGAAGCUCCCAGCACUUUAAAACUUCUAAUUUUUUGAGCUUUCUCAACCUUCUAAUAUCAUUGGGUAAUUUCUUUAUUCCAGUCCCAAAAAUAUCCAAAGUUUCUAGAUUUUGCAUAGCCCCUAUGUUGUCCGGUAGGGAAGAAAUGUGACCACAAUUUCUUAGGAGAAGUAGCUCCAGUGCUUCUAAUUUAGUCACUUCUGCCGGCAACUCCUCGAGACUAAUACAUCCCGACAAGUUCAAGCGUGCUAGAGUCUUCAUGUUUCCAAUCGAAGAAUCAAGUUGCUUUAGACUUCGACAACCUUUGAGGAUAAGAACCUCUAAGUUCUUAAAAGCUGAAAGGAAGAAAGUUCCUUCCAAAAAUUGACAAUGUGUUAGGUCGAGAAACUUGAGCUUUUGUCCCGUCUGAUAAAAAAUGUAAUAAUUGUGGAGGGGUUAGCCAAAAGUAAUUUUGAUUCAACAGAAAUCAAUACGAAAAAAGAAAGAAACGACUUGUUUAACCAUCUUACCUUCACAAAAUUCCAUCCCUGCCAUCUGCUAGAAAUCUUGCUUCUCGACAACUCGAGUACAACCAAUUCCUUUACAUUAAAUUCUUUUGCUUCAAAAGUCAAGGGACAAUUGUGCCAUCGAAGCCAUUUUAACUUCUUAGUGCAGUUCUCAAAAUCUCCACUAAAAUGUGCUUCACUUGCGUCGAGGAACCUUAAAUUCCUUAACUUCUUGAAUUGUUUUCCCUUAAGGAUAUUGUCACCUUGGUCAAUGGUUUCACCACAGCUAAGACAAAUGGCCUCAAUCUUUUCUGUUCCCUAUUAGUAGGAAUCAACAUCCAUUAAUACUAUUUAUAUCCAACUUAAGUCAUCUAAUAUCAUUUGUUCAUAUUGCUAUUAUUAUGCAUCGAUCUCUUCAAGAGACUAGCAAAUCCUUUUUUGGCAGAUAAACGGUAUUUAUAAAAGCUAACAAAGUGAAAGAUGUCAAUUCUGACUUUGAAAUUUGGCCAUAAGUACUUUGAUCUUAAAAGAAUUAUGAUGUUCUCUAGUUUUAUUUUAUCAUGUAUAAUAGUUUACAGUUUCUUAUACCCAUUAUAAACGUACUAUUACCCUUUGAUCUACCUAUAGGGUAAAACUUCACAACUGGUAAAUCCUCUUCUCUUGUAUUGUAGUUUUGUUGCUAUACUAGUUAGGACGCACAUGCAAUGCAUGGAAUUUAAUUAAAUUACAAUGCACAAAAUUGAAAGUUCUUGUGAUUAUUGUGACAAUUGGGAAAAAAAAAAAAACUUCUCUUAAUAUAAAAAAAUUUAUCCUUAUGAAGUCCAUCUUUUCUUUUCCGUAUUUUCUUGUGUUUAAAUUUCGUGUAUAUUACUCAGCUGUGUUACUUACAAUUAAUAAAAAUAUAACUUAUACUCAUUUUUGCUUUUUCCAAUGGAGUAAUGACUAAUUGUACGUAACUAAGCUUGUGAUAGUAGUUACUUUAAUAUCAUAUGUAAUUUUUUUUAUUAAUAGUAACUUGAAUUAUUAUCAAUAAUUAAUCUCUAAUUAUAAGCAACUGAGAUAAUGACAUUAAUUAUAUCUAUGCUCUCUAUAACUUAUCAUACUAGCAUAAAUUAUUAUUUAGUUGCAGAUCACAAUUGGCUAUAUUAUAAAUUGAUCAGAAAUUGAAUUAUUCAAGUAUAAUAAGUAUAAUUGUCCUAAAACAAUUAUAAUGAAUAUAAUAAACAGUCCUAAUUUAUUAACUUUGAUUAAUUUGUAUAUAACUAAUUAUUAAAAAUGUAUAGUAUUUUCGGAAUUUUAAAAAUUGAACUUAUUCUUGGCUACAUGAAAUAGCGAGUAACUCCUUGGCCCCCAGGAAUAGCUAGUCCUGAUUUUGAGAGAAUAGCUAUUUCAAAUCUACUUUUUGAAUCAAAGGAAUGAAAAAUUGCUUCAAUUUUAAUGAAUUAAAAACAUGAUAGUUAUUCCUGCGAACCAAAUGUGCAACAAGCUUUCACCAAGAAAAAUCACUUAUGCAUAAGAAGUUAAGGAGCACCAACAAUUCAUGGAUUUCCAGAUCCAUGUCAGUUUAUUCAAACCAGAAAAUUUCUUAUUGUAUUUACAAUGUUUCUUAAGAUUUCAUGGAAACUCAGAGAGAAUGACAUAAUUAGUGGAGAUCUUAUACCUAAAAGAAAACCCAUGAGAAGAGUAAUUAUAAAAAAAGUAAGCAACCUCCAAGAGAAGUAAACAUACUCAGAUUAGUCAUUUCCAUGAGAAAAUUCCCUCUCAAAAUAUGAAGAAAUCUAUCUGUCGUCAAAAUUGAGUAACACUCAUGGUCAAAUCCCAAAAAAAAGCCAAACCAUUUGUACUUGAGACAAAAGUAACACAAUCUUUCAAAUGUCCCCAAAAAAAAAAAAAAAAAACCCUAAUGUAUCGGGGACAUGUUGACAUGGAACAAAGCCCAACCUUUUAGCCGGGAGAAAAACCGACAUCUAUUGUAAAUUACAUUCAUUAAAUUGCCACUAAUAUCCUACAUGGGUCACUGUGUUGACGUACACAGCGAGCCACAUCAACCAGCACAGAAGAACGACGUUGCCUUUUCAUUUAUAAUCUUUGCCAACAAAAUUAGUGUAUAAUCUUUGUUAUCAAAUUUUAGCAUUUUGUAAAAAACAAAACAGAAAGCCGUAUAAUUAAAAUUGUUUUUGUGCAUGUCAGCCCAAUGAGCCAUGUAGGUGUCGUGUGUCUAUUUAAGGUGAGAGGAGAAUAGGUAGAAUUUGUAAUAGAUGCCAUUUUUGUAUCGCGAGUGAAGAAGGGCUGAGCUUUUCCCUGGGAAGUUCGAAAGGUGGUGUUAUUAUCAGCUCACAUGCUUGUGUAACGACCAGGCCCCACUGUGUGAUAUUGUCCGCUUUGGACUGCUUUGGACUGAUCGAGAGUUGAUCGAUCGGCCGUGACACUUGCUUGGGCUUCCUUUUAGGAUAUUUUAGGUUGUGUUAUUAUUGUCAAGGGUGCAAAAGGCUGCACUAUUUUCACUUGGCAGUUCACUCACUAAUAAUGUCUGAGGAAUGAGUUAUAAAUGUGUUCUAAUUAUGCUUUAAAUGUCUUUUGUUUUUGUUUAUUUUGUAAGUCGUGCCAAUGCUCUUGUCCAUGCUUUGCACUUCACAUGACGAAUAUCGAGAUUGACUGUUUUCGAUGACAUACAUGACGAUAACUUCUAAUAUUGAUCGGAUGUAGGAAUCAACUUACAAGAAUAUUGUAUCANNNNNNNNNNNNNNNNNNNNNNNNNNNNNNNNNNNNNNNNNNNNNNNNNNNNNNNNNNNNNNNNNNNNNNNNNNNNNNNNNNNNNNNNNNNNNNNNNNNNNNNNNNNNNNNNNNNNNNNNNNNNNNNNNNNNNNNNNNNNNNNNNNNNNNNNNNNNNNNNNNNNNNNNNNNNNNNNNNNNNNNNNNNNNNNNNNNNNNNNNNNNNNNNNNNNNNNNNNNNNNNNNNNNNNNNNNNNNNNNNNNNNNNNNNNNNNNNNNNNNNNNNNNNNNNNNNNNNNNNNNNNNNNNNNNNNNNNNNNNNNNNNNNNNNNNNNNNNNNNNNNNNNNNNNNNNNNNNNNNNNNNNNNNNNNNNNNNNNNNNNNNNNNNNNNNNNNNNNNNNNNNNNNNNNNNNNNNNNNNNNNNNNNNNNNNNNNNNNNNNNNNNNNNNNNNNNNNNNNNNNNNNNNNNNNNNNNNNNNNNNNNNNNNNNNNNNNNNNNNNNNNNNNNNNNNNNNNNNNNNNNNNNNNNNNNNNNNNNNNNNNNNNNNNNNNNNNNNNNNNNNNNNNNNNNNNNNNNNNNNNNNNNNNNNNNNNNNNNNNNNNNNNNNNNNNNNNNNNNNNNNNNNNNNNNNNNNNNNNNNNNNNNNNNNNNNNNNNNNNNNNNNNNNNNNNNNNNNNNNNNNNNNNNNNNNNNNNNNNNNNNNNNNNNNNNNNNNNNNNNNNNNNNNNNNNNNNNNNNNNNNNNNNNNNNNNNNNNNNNNNNNNNNNNNNNNNNNNNNNNNNNNNNNNNNNNNNNNNNNNNNNNNNNNNNNNNNNNNNNNNNNNNNNNNNNNNNNNNNNNNNNNNNNNNNNNNNNNNNNNNNNNNNNNNNNNNNNNNNNNNNNNNNNNNNNNNNNNNNNNNNNNNNNNNNNNNNNNNNNNAUGAGAAGCACCUACAGAGAUGAGCAAACUUAUCAACAUUCCAUAACCUCCUAAGAAUUUUACUUGGCCAGUCAAGCAAGGAGACUCUGCAACAUUGAUUUCAUCUACAAGGCUCAAGACCAUUUGACAUCGACAAUAAGACCGUUCAAUCAAUGUGGAACAGCUCCAAUCAACAGUGCUCCACUUGAAGGAAUCGUCAAAACAAGUAGAUCUAAAAGAUUCAUAUAAUAACAUAAGUGAAGGAUUGAGGAACACCAGGGCAUCCCGCCAUAGGUAAUAAGGAACCGUGUGUCAUGAUCACUUGAUUCCUUGAAGUCUGGAACAAAGCAUACCUAACACGACCAUGAAUGAGCCCAUCUCUGGUGAAAGCCAACAAAAUCACACAAUCCAUUGCUCUAAAAUGAAGUAAGACAACAGAAUAUGGCGAAAGAUUGCAAGAGCAAAACUUGUCCAUCAAGGAUAUACUACCUCCUCCUACAAUUCUGCUUGAAGCUUUCUUUGAAAAUUGCCAAUAACUCAAGCCUCAGACAUCAACUGUGCUGACUCGUGAGACUUUUCUUGUCAGAAGGCUCUUCCAACAAAACAAAUACCUUCAAGUUGACUAGAUGAUUCCAUAAUGUACAUCUGCUGAGGACAGACAUAUAUGUCCUUAAGUAAGAACCUUCAUGAAGAAGGUAUUUAUCCAGGCUAAUUGACCAACUUUUUCAUUUAUUCCACAUGUUAUGCAAGAGUCAACACAAAUCGAAUUGUCUUCAUGAUUCUAGUCCAAAUUUUCCCAUUUCAGGCGGUAUGAGCAUAUGCCUCUUCCAUGUGCAUGAAUCAAAUGGGUGGGUUAAGUUGGAGGGAGGCAUGGAGAGAAUGAGAGGAAUAAUCUUUCUUUUUUAAGCCUAGAAUUAUAGCCAAAGCUCCACUAAACGGAAUCAUAGCUCACAUCCAAGGAAUUUUGCCUACACAAACAGUUAAGGAAGCAACCACUUCAUUUGUGUGUCAUGAAACAAGUAAAUUCCGCCAUCUAUUGCCAUGGCGGACUGCUGCUUUAGAACAACACAUUGAUCUAUCUCGAAUCAUUGCAAAUGCUACUUUAGUAAUCCUCUUCCGACAGCAAUCAUCAGCAAUAGGAAUCUUGUUCCAUUUCAUGUACACUAGCCUAUAUGAACCAGCCUCUCUUCUGUGCCAUGGUCUACCAUCUUGAUUAAAUCUCCUUUCAUCGUGUAGGGGAAAAAAAGGCAGAGCACGAGCAUAGAGAUCCCAGAAUUCUACUUUGAAACCCAAACUACAGUAUCCGCAUUAUGCAUUUAUCUUAGAUAUGUUCAAAAGCCGACCAUUCUAGCAGAUAUUUCCCAAUGUUCUCAAUUUGCUACAUUGCAUGAGAACCAGGAUCUAGGGUAAAGGUCAGAAAGCUUGUCACUCGAAUGAGCAAAAGACUUCAAACCUAUACAUCUGGAGAAGGCAGAUCUAGUGCUGCGAAGGGGCUCCUGUUCGUCUUGGGGAUGGCAAAGUAUCUUGACAGGAAGGGAUCACGGUAGGAGACGGGACUGAAAUCAGAAUAAGAAAAGAUAACUGGCUAAGAUCUGGAGUCAUUGGUGGCGAGGCAGCCCCCCAACUAGUGGCAGGCUUAAUUGACAAAGAGGAAUUCAAGUGGAAAGAGCAUAUGAUUAAUGGGAUAUUUGACGAAAGAACUACGAACGAAAUCCUAGCUGUUCCUAUCAGCUCAACCAUGGACAAAGACAAGAUGGUUUGGACAUGCACAACCUCAAGCUCUAACUCAGUGAAAAGUGCCUACCAUCACUUAAUGUCAACAGAAACAAAGCAGCAAGCAGAACAACUAACAUCCUCAUAUCAAACACCCAGAUAGCAAUGGAAAUUGAUUUGGAACAUGAAUGUUAACACAAAAAUGAGGCUCUUUACUGGAACGUGUGCCAAAAUGCAAUCCCAUCUUUAGAGAACUUGUUCAAAAGGAAAGUCUUACCUGAACCCAUCUGCCCCCUUUGCCAAAAGACCCAAGAAACAGUUGAGCAUAUUUUUCAAUGAUGCGACUGGACUCGUGAGGUCUGGAAUCACCCAAAAUUAGAUAUCAGAAUCACGGGCAAGGAGCUCAGUCACAUGGAGGAGACGAUUCUACAAUGAGGUAACCCAAAUGCAAACUCACUUUCACAAGAUUUGGUAGCAGGGGUUCUCUGGAACAUUUGGAAGGCUUGGAACCAUUUCAUCUUGCGCCAUCAAAAACCAGGUUAGAGUAGCAUAGUGGAAGCGAACAUGGCUGCACAAAAGAACUUUGAGAGAUGGAAUUAUAGAAGGCAAAAACGAACACAGCAGCAGGAACUCUUACCCGAGAUGUGAAACCCAUCGAGAAGGGGUUGGCUGAAGAUCAACGUUGGCGGGUCUCUAGUGGACGGACAAACCGCGGGAAGCGUUGCCGGGAUAUGCGGAGACGAAGCUGGGAGAGUGGAGAAUCAUUUAUUUUGCAUUUCUCAAUCUAUACAAUUACCUUCGGCAUGUUAUCAGGUGCCCUUAUACAUUAGGUUUUUUUUUUCAGUAAUUCCAGAAUUGCAGAAUCAAUCAGACGUGGAGAAUCUUUAUUUUUUUUGCAUCCGAUGAAGAAUCUUACCCGAAGACUAAUGACAAAUGAUUCACUUAGAAGACUUUUUGAUUUACUUCCGAUACUAGCAUGAUGUGCAAAAAUAUCAUGCCAAAGCACACAUUAACUUCUAGGAACAUCUCCUCUGGAUUCCUAGAAAUCAAAUAAGAUAAUUAUAAAACUGCCAACCAUGAUAUACUAAUAAAAAGGUAACAAAUCUUAAAAGAAAAUGCAAACAAGAAACACAAAUGAAAAUUGGGCAGUAAAUCUCAAAAGAGAAAGAGGGAGCUUCCCUACUUUAUGUACCUUUAUUAGGAAAUGUGGAUCAUCUCAAUUAUUCCGACUCAUCCCAUCCUAGUUAUCUCGUCCAAAUAUCUUCAGACCUUUGGGUAUUUGUAUGGUCGAGCCUUCCAAUUUAACUUUAGUCAAACAUUCCAACCCAUCGAGACCUAGAAUUUCGACUAAGUUGUUGCAAUUUCGAGCAAUUAACAUCUUUAGACCCUUGGAUUUUGAAAGAUCCAGCUUUUUAAUUGAAGUGCACGAGAUAUUAAGCUUUUCCAAUGACUUCAACCAUUGGAGACCUCGAAUUUCAACUAGGUUUUUGCAAUUUUUAGCAUCUAGUACCUUCAGAUCCUCAGAUUUUGGAAGGUCUAGCAUUUUAAUUGAAGAACACUCAAAGAAAAGUAACUCCUUCACGGACCCUAAAAUAUGGAGAUGUUCAAUUUCGAUUAAUUUUUUGCAAUAUUGAACAUGCAAUAUCUUCAAACUCCCGGAUUUUGAAAGGUCCAACCUUUCAAUUGAAGUGCACCUGACAAUAGAUAACUUCUCUAACAACUCCAGCUUAUCAAGGCCUUGAAUUUCGAUUAAGUUUUGGCAAAAUUGAGCACUUAAUUUCUUCAUGCACUUAGAUUUUGGAAGGUCCAAUCUUUCAAUUAAAGCACACUUGACGAAACAGAGCUCUUCUAGGAAUUCUAGCCAAUUGAGGCCUUGAAUUUCAACUAAGUUUUGGCAAUUUUGAACAUUCAAUAUUUUCAGACCCUUGGGUUUUGAAAGGUCCAACCUUUCAAGUGAAGUGCACUCAACGAUAGAUAUCUUUGCCAAGAAGUCCAACUUAUCAAUGCCUUGAAUUUCCACUGAGUGUUUGCAAUUUUCUACAUGUAAUAUCUUUAGACCCCCAAACUUCGGAAGGUCUAACCUUUCAAUUGAAGCACACUCAAGGACACAUAAUUCUUCCAAGAGCUGCAACUUAUCGAGGUCAUGAAUUUCGACUAAGCUUUGACAACGUUGAACAUGUAAUUUUUUCAUGUCCUUCGAUUUUGGAAGGUCCAACCUUUCAAUUAAAGUGCACUUAGAGAUGCACAGCUCUUCCAAGUACUCUAACCUAUCGAGGCCUUGAAUUUCAAUUAAGCUGUUGCAAUUCUCAAUUUCUAGUUUUCUCAUGCCUUUGGAUUUUGGAAACCUUUCAAUUGACCCUUUGAUGGUCAUGCUUUCCAAAUAUUUCAAUUUGUCAAGACGGGAAAAUUCACGUAUAUUACAACAACCUUGGGCAGAUAAUGUCUUCAGAUGGUUCAAUUGUGAAACAUCCAGUGUGUCCAUUGAUUCGCAAAACAAGAUUUCUGACAAAUCUAACUUGAAGGGAGUGUUUAGAGAUCGUUGGGAACAUUCUGAAAACUCUAGUAGUGUUGAUGGGAGCUCCAAGAUGCACUUGAGAAUUUUGUAGUUGAGAAGGUGUAGUUGCUUGAGAUUGGUUAAGUGCGAAAGUGAAGUCAUCUUGAAACUUUGACAGGUGACACUCAAAUAUGUUAAGCUGGAAGGAAGCUCCGGCAGCCAUUGAAGCUCCCAGCACUUUAAAACUUCUAAUUUUUUUAGCUUUCUCAGCCUUCUAAUAUCAUUGGGUAAUUUCUUUAUUCCAGUCCCAAAAAUAUCCAAAGUUUCUAGAUUUUGCAUAGCCCCUAUGUUGUCCGGUAGGGAAGAAAUGUGACCACAAUUUCUUAGGAGAAGUAGCUCCAGUGCUUCUAAUUUAGUCACUUCUGCCGGCAACUCCUCGAGACUAAUACAUCCCGACAAGUUCAAGCGUGCUAGAGUCUUCAUGCUUCCGAUCGAAGAAUCAAGUUGCUUCAGACUUCGACAACCUUUGAGGAUAAGAACCUCUAAGUUCUUAAAAGCUGAAAGGAAGAAAGUUCCUUCCAAAAAUUGACAAUGUGUUAGGUCGAGAAACUUGAGCUUUUGUCCCGUCUGAUAAAAAAUGUAAUAAUUGUGGAGGGGUUAGCCAAAAGUAAUUUUGAUUCAACAGAAAUCAAUACGAAAAAAGAAAGAAACGACUUGUUUAACCAUCUUACCUUCACAAAAUUCCAUCCCUGCCAUCUGCUAGAAAUCUUGCUUCUCGACAACUCGAGUACAACCAAUUCCUUUACAUUAAAUUCUUUUGCUUCAAAAGUCAAGGGACAAUUGUGCCAUCGAAGCCAUUUUAACUUCUUAGUGCAGUUCUCAAAAUCUCCACUAAAAUGUGCUUCACUUGCGUCGAGGAACCUUAAAUUCCUUAACUUCUUGAAUUGUUUUCCCUUAAGGAUAUUGUCACCUUGGUCAAUGGUUUCACCACAGCUAAGACAAAUGGCCUCAAUCUUUUCUGUUCCCUAUUAGUAGGAAUCAACAUCCAUUUAUACUAUUUAUAUCCAACUUAAGUCAUCUAAUAUCAUUUGUUCAUAUUGCUAUUAUUAUGCAUCGAUCUCUUCAAGAGACUAGCAAAUCCUUUUUUGACAGAUAAACGGUAUUUAUAAAAGCUAACAAAGUGAAAGAUGUCAAUUCUGACUUUGAAAUUUGGCCAUAAGUACUUUGAUCUUAAAAGAAUUAUGAUGUUCUCUAGUUUUAUUUUAUCAUGUAUAAUAGUUUACAGUUUCUUAUACCCAUUAUAAACGUACUAUUACCCUUUGAUCUACCUAUAGGGUAAAACUUCACAACUGGUAAAUCCUCUUCUCUUGUAUUGUAGUUUUGUUGCUAUACUAGUUAGGACGCACAUGCAAUGCAUGGAAUUUAAUUAAAUUACAAUGCACAAAAAUUGAAAGUUCUUGCGAUUAUUGUGACAAUUGGGAAAAAAAAAAACUUCUCUUAAUAUUAAAAAAUUUAUCCUUAUGAAGUCCAUCUUUUAUUUUCCGUAUUUUCUUGUGUUUAAAUUUCGUGUAUAUUACUCAGCUGUGUUACUUACAAUUAAUAAAAAUAUAACUUAUACUCAUUUUUGCUUUUUCCAAUGGAGUAAUGACUAAUUGUACGUAACUAAGCUUGUGAUAGUAGUUACUUUAAUAUCAUAUCUAUUUUUUUUUAUUAAUAGUAACUUGAAUUAUUAUCAAUAAUUAAUCUCUAAUUAUAAGCAACUGAGAUAAUGACAUUAAUUAUAUCUAUGCUCUCUAUAACUUAUCAUACUAGCAUAAAUUAUUAUUUAGUUGCAGAUCACAAUUGGCUAUAUUAUAAAUUGAUCAGAAAUUGAAUUAUUCAAGUAUAAUAAGUAUAAUUGUCCUAAAACAAUUAUAAUGAAUAUAAUAAACAGUCCUAAUUUAUUAACUUUGAUUAAUUUGUAUAUAACUAAUUAUUAAAAAUGAAAUAGCGAGUAACUUAUUGAACUUAAAAAUUGAACUUAUUCUUGGCUACAUGAAAUAGCGAGUAACUCCUUGGCCCCCAGGAAUAGCUAGUCCUGAUUUUGAGAGAAUAGCUAUUUCAAAUCUACUUUUUGAAUCAAAGGAAUGAAAAAUUGCUUCAAUUUUAGUGAAUUAAAAACAUGAUAGCUAUUCCUGCGAACCAAAUGUGCAACAAGCUUUCACCAAGAAAAAUCACUUAUGCAUAAGAAGUUAAGGAGCACCAACAAUUCAUGGAUUUCCAGAUCCAUGUCAGUUUAUUCAAACCAGAAAAUUUCUUAUUGUAUUUACAAUGUUUCUUAAGAUUUCAUGGAAACUCAGAGGAGAAUGACAUAAUUAGUGGAGAUCUUAUACCUAAAAGAAAACCAUGAGAAGAGUAAUUAUAAAAAAAGUAAGCAACCUCCAAGAGAAGUAAACAUACUCAGAUUAGUCAUUUCCAUGAGAAAAUUCCCUCUCAAAAUAUGAAGAAAUCUAUCUGUCGUCAAAAUUGAGUAACACUCAUGGUCAAAUCCCAAAAAAAAGCCAAACCAUUUGUACUUGAGACAAAAGGAACACAAUCUUUCAAAAUGUCCCAAAAAAAAAAAAAGCCUAAUGUAUCGGGGACAUGUUGACAUGGAACAAAGCCCAACCUUUUAGCCGGGAGAAAAACCGACAUCUAUUGUAAAUUACAUUCAUUAAAUUGCCACUAAUAUCCUACAUGGGUUACUGUGUUGACGUACACAGCGAGCCACAUCAACCAGCACAGAAGAACGACGUUGCUUUUUCAUUUAUAAUCUUUGCCAACAAAAUUAGUGUAUAAUCUUUGUUAUCAAAUUUUAGCAUUUUGUAAAUAAAUAAAAAAAAAAGCCGUAUAAUUAAAAUUGUUUUUGUGCAUGUCAGCCCAAUGAGCCAUGUAGGUGUCGUGUGUCUAUUUAAGGUGAGAGGAGAAUAGGUAGAAUUUGUAAUAGAUGCCAUAUUUGUAUCGCGAGUGAAGAAGGGCUGAGCUUUUCCCUGGGAAGUUCGAAAGGUGGUGUUAUUAUCAGCUCACAUGCUUGUGUAACGACCAGGCCCCACUGUGUGAUAUUGUCCACUUUGGACUGAUCGAGAGUUGAUCGAUCGGCCCGUGACACUUGCUUGGGCUUCCUUUUAGGAUAUUUUAGGUUGUGUUAUUAUUGUCAAGGGUGCAAAAGGCUGCACUAUUUUCACUUGGCAGUUCACUCACUAAUAAUGUCCGAGGAAUGAGUUAUAAAUGUGUUCUAAUUAUGCUUUAAAUGUCUUUUGUUUUUGUUUAUUUUGUAAGUCGUGCCAAUGCUCUUGUCCAUGCUUUGCACUUCACAUGACGAAUAUCGAGAUUGACUGUUUUCGAUGACAUACAUGACGAUAACUUCUAAUAUUGAUCGGAUGUAGGAAUCAACUUACAAGAAUAUUUGUAUCAGUUGUCUCAGCCGCUUUAACUUGGAGUAAUGACAGUGCCAUGAAUGAAGAAGAAAAAUGAACCCAGCAAGAAUUAUGAAAAAAUUACGACCAAUGACGUACCUUUUUAGUUUGUAAAGCCAUCAAUACCAAAGUUAUCUAGACUUAAAUAUACAGCAUAUUCAUUUUUCUUUUAGUUAGUUCAGUUUAUUUUAUGAUGUAAUACGAAGACAUAACAAAUGAACAUUGGCUUUAAUAUGAUAACAUAGAAAUCAGCUCUUGAGAUUAUAUAUAGGUUGCACGUUGAAAAUGCAAAUAUGUGCUAGUUUUUGAGCAACAACUCCGAGUCAAACAAAUGAUGGAUCAAGAAUAUUAAGAGUCAAAACUAUGAUUAAUUUCACACAUACAAUACAAUCACAUAAUUAUAUACAAAAUAGAAUUUUAGAGUAAUUACCUUUGGGACUUUUUAUAUGAAAUAAAUAAGACAUUUCUCUUUUCAAUAGUCAUUGCAUCAAAUACGCUUAAUGUCAUAUAUAUCUGCAUACAUUAUGUUCAUAUUCUAUUAAUUAUAUGUUCGGUAAGUUUUGAAUCAGUCCUUAUUAUGUGAAUUUUGGUAAAAGGAAUUACUAACUUAAUAUUACAUAAAAUAAAUAUCCCUUCCAUUCUCAAAUACAUUAUAAUGAUUGAAAUUUCAUGAGAAAUGUGGGCAUGAUUGCUCCUACUAUAUCAAUUCCAACACCUAGAGAGUAGAAUUUUAUGAUUUAUAUAUCCUAAGGAAGUUAUGGUUUACAGUAGCAUAGUCAAAGUUAUUAUUGCAUGUGUCAAGGAUGUAAUUGAAUAAAUUUUAGAAGUUAAGGAUUUUGUCAAUAUAGAAUACCUCUAUCAAGUAUCUAAUAAAUUUGAAAAUAGCUCGUACUUNNNNNNNNNNNNNNNNNNNNNNNNNNNNNNNNNNNNNNNNNNNNNNNNNNNNNNNNNNNNNNNNNNNNNNNNNNNNNNNNNNNNNNNNNNNNNNNNNNNNNNNNNNNNNNNNNNNNNNNNNNNNNNNNNNNNNNNNNNNNNNNNNNNNNNNNNNNNNNNNNNNNNNNNNNNNNNNNNNNNNNNNNNNNNNNNNNNNNNNNNNNNNNNNNNNNNNNNNNNNNNNNNNNNNNNNNNNNNNNNNNNNNNNNNNNNNNNNNNNNNNNNNNNNNNNNNNNNNNNNNNNNNNNNNNNNNNNNNNNNNNNNNNNNNNNNNNNNNNNNNNNNNNNNNNNNNNNNNNNNNNNNNNNNNNNNNNNNNNNNNNNNNNNNNNNNNNNNNNNNNNNNNNNNNNNNNNNNNNNNNNNNNNNNNNNNNNNNNNNNNNNNNNNNNNNNNNNNNNNNNNNNNNNGCUUUUCUUUUGCUGGUCCCAAUGAAAAAGCAAGCAAUAUCCAAAAAUAUCUGUUUUUGUCUAUAAUCCAAUGCUUCAUAACUUAUCCUUAACUUUUCUUGCACUUUCUUAUGAGGGACUUUUCUUAACUUUUUUAUCGUAUCCCUCCAUAGCAUUGGCUGUUGUCCACACAAAUAUGAACCUAGAACCUCAAGAGAUAAGGGAAGCCCUCCAGUGGUGGACACAACAUCAUAAGCGAGGUCUUCAAAUUCACUUGGAGGAGAGUCCUUUCGAAAUGCAUGUCUACUAAAUAGAAUCAAAGAUUUAUCCUUAUCCAAUUCCUCAUGUUCAUAGUUGUAGUUCACCCGAGCAUUGUCAAGAAUACUCUUGUUUCUGGUGGUAAUAAUGAUCCUACUUCCUGAAGAAAACCAAUGAUGAUUUCCAGCCAAAGCUUUCAGCUGAUCAUAAUCAUCUACAUCAUCAAGAAGAAUGAGGACUUUCUUACCUUUAAGCAUUAAUGAGAGGAUCUUAAUCCCUUCAUCCUUAUUACGAGCUUGAUUGUCUUGCUUCAAUAUAUCAACGAUUAACUGAUUUUGUAAGCAAUGAAUGCCAAAGCGCUCCCAUGACUCCUUAAUAUCAGCAAUGAAGCUAUGAUACUCAAAUUUAUUUAAGAGCUUGUUGUAGAUGGUUUUAGCAAGAGUUGUCUUGCCAAUGCCUCCCAUUCCAUGGAUGCCAACAAAUAGGGUGUCACAAGGACUUUUAUCUACAAAUUUUAUAAUCUUCUCCACAUGACUGUUAAUUCCAACCAAAUUCUCAGGAAUAUUCAACUCAAACUUUUUUUUCAACUCGCUUAACACUUUCCGGACAAUCGAUUUUACCAAUUCUCCUUCAUACCUAUCAAGUGUAACAGGAGUUCAAAUACAUCGUAAAUAUAAUUUUAUAUUGUUUAUCUAAUGAGAGCACAGUAGUAAAUAAGUCUAGGGAUAAAUCCUAAUACUUUAACAAUCAUUUUGUCCACCUUCAUAUAUUAGCAUACUUUGGAUUGAAAUCAUAUUUCAAACUUCUUGUUGUUGAAGAUAUUAUGGAUGACAUGGACAUGGCUUUGAAAACUUUUUAGAGCGUUUGGAUAAGAAAAAUUCAAUUAGGCAACAUGGUAUGAGAGCUCAGCCACCAAUUAACAAACAAGUUGCAACUUUUGAUGCAAGAGGAAUUUAAGUCUUAUAUACCAAUCCCGAAAGUCGUUCAAAGUGCUUUAUUGUGAACUACUUGAAUACAAUUAGGGGAUUUCUCCUUAUUUGCCCAAUUUUACAUGCUUGCAAGUUUCUGCUCGUGCUGUGAAUUUUGAUUCUAAAUUCAUGUUCUUAUCAAUUUCCAUUGCAUCAAGAGUUGAUAACAUGUACUUUACUUUCCUUUUGGUGUCUAUAUUAUAUGUAUUGAUUUUAUUGGGAAGUAGAAGGAUAAAUUUUCGCAAAAAAAAAAAAAAAAGAGAACAUCGCUUUGAUAUAGGAAAAUGCAUUGAAAAUUAUUUGAACAAACGUAUUACAAAGAUAAUACUUUUUCCUCAACCAUCUCUUUUUUGACUUGCUUAGUUGAAUUACAAUCUCACAUAAAUUUGUAAAUAGAAAAGUUUGUAAUGAAGAUUGAUGUAGCUUACACUGUAAACAUGGGAAAAAAAAGGCACAAUCUAACAAAAUCUUUGGAUAUAAGAGCAAAAAUUCAUUUGAAAAAUCUUAUAUUAUUCAAGCGAUUGUAAUCAUAACAAUGAAAUCUAUAUUAGAUUGGUCAAUAUCAUCUUAUUAAGAAACUGAAAAAAGAUAAUUUAUGGAACUUAUGCAUCGCCAUGUGUUACUACUAUAAAAAUCUUGCUGCUAACCAAUAAAAACGAAAAAGAAGCGAGUAGGAAUCAGAUUCAGGAAACACCCCUACAAAUUAAAAGAAGGUACAUAAUGCUUUCGUGAAAGAUUUUACCCAUUAGCGUCCCAUCCUUUCAAGGAACUAACUUCAACAAGUGCUUGCUUCCAUUUAUCGAAAAUUGUUGGGUCGAAACGCCUCUCGCGCUUAUGAAAUGCAUCCCCAAAACUCCCGAUUUGAUGUCGCACGUGAGCUGGCUCCACUUUGUAGAAUAUCGGCAACACUAUAUGCCCGCUGUCACUUUUCUUGCACUCCAUUAUUUGAACAAGCUCGUCCAUGCACCAAUUACUUGAACCAUAAUUUACAGAGAGAAUCGGGAUUAGGAUCUUACUAUUCUUGAUGGCUGUCAAAAGAUCUGGGCCGAUCAUCUCUCCUUGCCGAAUCUCAUUAUUGUCUCUAAAAGUAUGAAUUCCAGCAUCGAGAAGGCCGUUGUAGAGGUGAUCAGUGAAACCCUUUCGAGUAUCUACACCUCUAAAGUUCAAGAACACAUCAUAGUAGUUUCCAAUUGAUGCGGUCAAUGAACUAGAUCCACCAGAAUUAGUUUUUGUGGGCGCAGUCAACAGAUCAGACGCACCAGUAUUUGCAUCUUCUGCAUUUCUAUGCACACCGACGUUGCAUUUCUCAAUGGGAGGAUGCAUUUCUUCUUUGCCUUCAAGUGGUGGAAUUUCAAUGCCCAAGAAAAUCCGAGAUGAUACCUGCCCUGGAAGAAGAGAAUAUGUGAGAUGCAGAAGCAAUCAAAUUAAGUAGUACCAAAAAGAAAAAGACAAGUGCCAUCAUAGAAUUAGUCCGGCAAUCCAUUGUGCUAGAUACAUUAUGUUACUACCGCAUUACAUNNNNNNNNNNNNNNNNNNNNNNNNNNNNNNNNNNNNNNNNNNNNNNNNNNNNNNNNNNNNNNNNNNNNNNNNNNNNNNNNNNNNNNNNNNNNNNNNNNNNACCUUAAUAUAAGAUCGAUUUGAAAAGGAGGAUACAGAAUCAAGAAAAAGCAUUCUCAAAGAAUAAAAAAUCGAUCCAGUCCGGGUAGUUCAGUUGGUCCGAAUCCCACCCUAGAAACAGAAAUUGGAUCACCCAUCACCGUUUCCAAUUUCAUGGAAUCAGGAACUAGACUAGCACUCUUGUGAACCACCUAGAACCAGCUGGUCCAAUCUAGUUCAGGCAGUUAUCAGUUCAGACGGUUCCCAUUACACACCGCUAAUAUUCUUGAGAGGACAUGUAGAGAGGAAAAAAGAAUUCUGCGUACUUCACUAUCCUUUUCGAUUCACAUAGAUGUCCACUCCAUCCGACCGCCUCUAGUUGUCAAUGUGGGUUUCUCUAUGACGGAUCAGCUAUCGGUGUUCAUGCUAUAAUUUGCUAUUAAAGUGGGGAAUACGACAGAACAAAGGACUCUCCAUUCUUAAGAAAAAGAUUGAAUGACACACAUCGAGACUCAACCACAUAUUCAGGCCCUCAGACAUUCUCUCGAUUAUCGAAAGAUGGUGCACUAAAAGCAGCUUGAUGGAAGGAGUUCGGAACUGCCCAUAAAAUAGAUGAAGUUGACACUUAAAUUUUGGCCACCAUAUUUAAUUCUUUAUCGCAUAGAAAAAUUAAGUAUUAACCCAACCCCAUAACAAAAGUACAAUGAUCAUAAUUUAUAUUCACAUAUUAUUUAAGUCAUGCAUCACAUACAAGCCACAUGACCCCACAUGAUAUUAUGAUGGACCGUCAUGCAUGCAAACGUGGGCACUAUGACUGGCCAUCUUCAGGAAGAGUUUCAAUUCUGCACCCCACUCCUGAUUGAUAAUGUUGGUUACUAAGUUGUUGCUUGCAGAAUUUAUCUCCAUUCGGGCACACCGGGGAACGCCGGAUUACCCCCCAUAUGGUCGACUAAAGAUGAAUGAAUCUGGAUGAAUAUACUUCGACCUUCGAGAUAAGGCUUAGAUAUAUUUGCAUGCAAAAUUAAGUGAAAUUUGGUGUACAUGAAUUGGCAACAAAAGAUGGAAGGAUUCGGUCAAGAUGGACUUUGAAUUUAUGAGAAGCCGAGAGAGGAAUGUGUCCGUGAAGAGAGACAUAUAGUGCAAAAGAGGGGAAAAUAUAUAAAAAGAUCUCUUAGGUUGUUAUGGAGGGACAAGCAUUUGUUUAUUUCGUCUCUUUUAUCUGCUUACAAGGACACACAUACUCGGCUAGCACAUGUGGACAUAAUAUUCAACACCACAUUGGGAGAUAAAGAUGACGGGUUUAGAAGUAAUAUCGAGUUGGGGACCAACGGUCCUCAAUUAGCGUGAAUACUUCCAUAUCCUUAACUCACGCAACAUUGAAUUUCCAUUUUAAUUCGAUUAAUCAUAUGAGAAUUAUACAUGAAGAGUUGCCUCUAACUUAUUAGGGCCGAGUAUAAAUCAAGUGAAGUAUGGGAGAUACCUUACUUCCUACGUAACUAGAGAUCCAGUGUUGUUGUGUCGAAGACUUAGGCAUUGUUUGGUAACCAUCCAAAUAGUGGCUGAUUCUAAUUUUUUGUUCCUGGGAUUAGUUUGGGAACAUAAUCGCGUUUGGUAAAAUUUUUGUUCCUGAGAACAGAUUUGGAGUAGAAUAAAAAAAAAAUUGAUUCUUGUUCCGGGAACAAAAGAAAGAAUAAAAAAAGUGGAACCCUUCUCUCCCCUCCUCUGUUGCCGUUCGCCAUUGUCCACCAUUUACCGUCACCGCUGUUCGCCGCCAUCCACCGUCGUCCAUCGCCGCCGUCCGCCAGUCGCCGGCAACCAGUCCAGCAAGCUCGUCGGAGGCAAGCCUAGCCUUGCCGGUGGCCAGGCGGGCCUCGCCCAGCCCCGCUGGUGGCCAGGCAAGCCUCGCCCAGCCCCAGCGAGGCCGAGCCUCGGCGGGGCUGGGCACGGGCUGGGCAAGGCUCGCCUAGCUGCCGACGAGGCUCGGUCGACGAGGGCCGGCCUCGCCGAGAGCUGGCGAUGCUCCGGUGAGGUCGCCGGCCUAAAGAAGAAGAAGAAGAGGAAUAGGAGAAAAAAGAAAAAAAGAAAAAAAGAAAAAAAAAGAAAAAGGAAAAAAGUGUAAAAAUUAUUUAAAAAUUAAAAAGAAAUUGAUUUGGAACAGAAUUAAUGAGCACAGUACCAAACGCAAUUCUAUUCCAGAAUCAGAAAUUUUGGACAGUUACCAAAUGGCUUAAAAUACUUAGAAUAUGUUCUAAGAACAGAAUAAAAAAGAAUUAUUUCUGAUCAGAAUCUACUUCCAGGAACAAAAUCGUUACCAAACGCACCCUUAAUUACAUAAGUUAUCUAACUAUUGCCCUUUUAAUCCCUAAGCUUAAUUACUUACCUAGGUAUUUUUACAAAAUUAUAAAUCUUAAGGUUCUCAUCCGCUAAGUGAACAAGCAAUGCUUUUGUGUUUAUAAUGAUUUGAAAUGUACCCAAAAUAUUCAGCUAAAACAAGCAAAAUCAAAACUCAAAAAAAGCUACAUAAAAGAUAUACAAUCAAUUGAACUAAAAAGGUAGUAAAAGAACGAACAAAAGUAAAGUGUAUUAAAGUAAUCCGAUAUGAGUAGGGAAAAGAACAUGACAUGGCCUUGUUAUUAAGCCUUAGGACAACAAUCCCUAUGAGGUUGACUUCAGAAACUAUUUUAUCUUAAAAUGGGUAAUAUGAUUAAUCGAAAUUUUCAGAGACAAAUAAAGCCUUACAUCGGUACUUUGUCGUCCGAGGUCAGAUCCCAAUCCAACUUUUGGAUAUUAGGUAUUCACUUAGUCCUCCUCAAGUUUAUCCUAGGUUAUUCAAUUAUUUGAAGUGAAUCCUAAAUUCAACUAAGCUAUUUACUAUGGUUUUUUUUUUCUCAUAGUUAUGUUUCUAAACAACUAAUUUCAUUUUUUUCUUUAUAUUUUUCAAUUAAGUCUAUUUCAUUUAUUAAGACUAAUUAGCUAAACCGAUCCCAAGUGGAUCCUAAACUAAACCAAAUAUUACUAUUUUUAUUCAACGUGACUAUACUAAGUCUAUUAUCGAGCCUGAUCUAGAGUUCGAAUUCUAGAACUAACUCUAAUCUUAAUUAAAGCUAAUGAAAAUCUCCAAACUUCUCCGAUCCACCUCCACAGUUCGGUUUAUCAUAGUCUCAUUGCACUCACUCAUGCACCACGAUCAAUAAAAGCAUUAGAAUGCUCACAAAAAGAAUUGACCACCAAAGAGCUAGGAAAAAUCAAUAAAUUGGCACUCAGCACAUCUCCUGCAUCAAGCAUAUCAAGCAAGGAGAAUCAACACACUUAAUCGCUUGAACAAAUGAGGUCCAAUUUUGAUGAAACACCCAUGAAUUUGCAGCUUAUUAAGUCUACUUUAGUUUCUCAGAUAACCAUUUUCAUGAUCAGAGCCACAAAACCCGAAAUUGUAAAUCACCUCAGAAAAUUAUGAAACCAGUCCUGUUUGAAAGCUUAAGACGUCUUCUAAAACUUUGUAGUUUAUCAUUUACUGAGAUUCGGCCCAUAUUUUAACGAAAUUGCAGAAACAGCCUUGAAGGUCAGACUGGCCUUUGACAUUCUGACUGGUACUUUGAGAAGACAUUUGACUGAGCAAUUCAAUUUGGAAUUUCAUGAAAAUUGAAUGAAUGGAAAGAUCUGGAAGUCUUUUAAAAGUUUGUAAUUCAUGAUAUUCCGAGAUUUUGUCAUUAAGAUCUCCUAAAUCCCAAAAUACCCAGCACGCCUGAUCAGACUUCUAAUUCCAGAUUCAACUUCAAUUUUCUAUUAUCUUUGUCCUAGAUUUUGAGGUGGAUUUGACCUAGUAAAUGAUCUUCAACUUGGGAUUAUAAUCUAUCAAAACGAAGCUUAAAAUGUCAUGAUCAUUUCAUUAGUUAAUUCCUUUUGAUGAUUUGGUCAUUUACUAGGUCGAAUAACCUGAUUAAUCUCAAUGAGUAUCCAAACCUGUGAUACUUCUCAACAACAAAUCGUCAGGCACACGCAUUUUGGUCCUUUAAACCAAUCCCAUUGACCUUCCAUGACUCAUCACGCACAAAAUACGAGCAAGCCCACAAAGAGUUCCUCAACAGCACUUAUUUGCUACGCUUACGGGGCCUAUUUAAAAGAACCUUCUAACAGUGAUCAUGCAAUGCGUCUCAUAGCAAGCAUAAGAAGAACAAACCAGCCACGUUUGCUUUACACGAUUGCAUGGAACAAACGAAAAUUUUAGCAUGAAACAGACCUAAAAGAACCGUCUAUCGGUUAUCAAUGGCAUGACAAUCCCAGAACAUGCCCACGGUGAACUCGCCAGCAUCUCGCCACAUACAUAUAUACAUUCAACUUUUUCUUCAUUGACGCUGUCACAUAUAAGCAGCAUAUACAAAGGAUAAUGAGCAAGAAAUCUCAGUGUAUAACCACUAGACUCAUCCUCAAUGAAGGAAAACAAAACUCAAGCAAAGCUUCAUUGACAGGAGACAGUAAACAAGUUACUCUCGAUCAAAACCUAACCUGCAAUGUUCGCUGUUCUAUUUCGAGAAUAUAAUCAAACCUGUGGUAAGCACUUCAGUCAAAGGAUCUAGCUGCAGCUGUGAAACAACGAUUCACAUCCGAAUUAUCAUCAGGACAAGCUCAAGUCACCAACAGAUCCUCAAUUGGAGGCUAAUUUCAAAUAAAUCACAACAAAAUUUCUCAGCCUCAGCUUUAUACAGAGAACAUCAGAACAUAGAAUUUGAGUCUAUGCUCAUCAUACCUUCGAGUUUCAGUUUUGGAAGAGAGCAAAUCGAAGAACAGAGUUCCUAGAUAUGUCAAUGAUGGAGAUCAAAGAAUAGAGUUCCAAACAGAUUAAUCUACUAAGAGUAAACUCUAUCAAAGGUGUUCACUAAAAUCCCUAAACUAAAUGCAUACUAACCAAAUGAAACUAAGCUAAAUCUAGCACUGGAUUUUUUAUUUUUUUUAUCGGUCGUCUUAUUUCUACUUUAUAAGUCACUGUGUGUACUUUGUGUAGGUUAUGAAACCCUAGUCUUUCUCACAUGUCCCUACCCCUCAGCUCCUGAGAAAAGGAGGGAAUCAAACUCAACACCUCCCCCUUUUCAAGUGAGAAAUGUGUCUACCGGACUAACCCCUAGUAGUUAAAUCUAGCACUAAACAUAACAACCUAAUCAAGAUCUCUAUCUCUAGCUAUUAUACAAUUUUUUAAUUUAUCGAAUUUUUCUGUUAGAAAUUAUUACUUUUAUAGUAGAGGGGGCUCGGGCUGGUCCUCUGGCCCGGUCUGAAGUUGGAAUGGACGCUUCCGCCUGGCGAGGGCCACAUCUCUAGUAUCAUGGGUUCUGGAUCUUAAGCUUGGGACAUUAUUGGGCUCUUAAAUCAAGCCCACUCAACUGAACUAAACCGAUUUCAUAAAAAGUCAAACCCAGGCCAAACAUUAAAAAGCUGAGUCAAGCCCGUCCCAAAUCAAACCCAACGUGCAAAGAUUUUUAACCUCACCUUGUCGAGGAAAUAACCAACGCAUGAACAGAAACAAUGGAAACGUACGGAAGGAAAAUGAUGUUGUUGAAAGCUUAUCUCUGGGCACCAUUGAAUGCUUCACUAACUCCUGGCCAUUCCUCACACAUUACCACCACAGAGCCAUCAUCAUAACAAGCUCUGCUGCAACCGCGAAACAUAUAUAAAAGAAAACGUUCAGAUUCGAUUUUGUUAACAAAGAAAUCUAACUGAAAACGUACUCAGCAAUUAAUAGAAAAUUCCUUUCACAUGAAACAUGUUCACAAGUGUUGCAACCCUCUCAAAGCACAUCCGACAGCAAGGUCUGAACCUUUUGAGGGGUUUAGAGGCAUUACUCAUAAGACGGUCCAAAUAAUCUCUCGAUUAUGAGUACAGGCUCUCCCCAACCAUUCUCCCUUGUAACAUUUGGAGAUUUCAUUUUUUAAGUCCUUUUUAGCCUAAUUAAAUCCUAGAGUUCCCACUAGCAAUUUGAAUAGGCUAAAAACCAUAUCAAAUACGGGAGGUUUGACUCAUUUUCUACGCAACUAGAGAUUCUAAAUACGAGAAUUGGAUUACGCUAAUAUUUAUAUUAAUGCCCUUUUGGUGCCUCUAACUCGGAAGGCCGUUGCCUAAGUGGUUAUGCAUUGUUUUUACCAUUUUACUCUUUUUGCAUUUUUCCUCUUACCUUCUGCCUUUUAUUCUAUUAUUUCUUUUGUUCCCAUCAUCUUCCUCCUUCCUCAGAUGGACGAGCCUCUGCCCUGGACUUCUCAGAACUUCCAUCGAUAAAACCCCAAAGGUGCAUUAAACCAAACCUACUCCCGCAAAUCUUGUCACUGGCAACAAUCGCUAACCUCCGAUCAUCAAACGAAAUGCCGUUACCAGACCACCACAGUCAACCACUCCCGGCCACCGAAAUUUAUCAUCGCCGGCCACCCCAUGAAGUAGGGCAAAGCACAGAACAGAUGGAAGGGAAGUGAACGCAGCAACAAUCCCAGAAACGACGCAAUAUGGCAGAAGAUGUGAUGUUCAACAACCAUUAAGAAGGCGUCUUAUCACGCAAAACAUAUAGAUAUGCACUCAAGGUAAUUUACAAUCGGGAAUAAACUGACACGGAUUCGGUUCCUGCAUUUCGUCGGACAUGCAGCGUAAGUGGGCUGAGGAGAAGGUAUUGACCAUUUUUAGACCUCGAACUCGGAUCUAGACCCAAAGAAAUCAUCAAGAAACACUCGAAUUCAGCCAUAUCAACUUACUCGAACCCAGCGAAUGGAUCAGAAAAAAUACCAGUCUCGGCCUCCGAUUGGACCAAAAGGGGGCGACGGUUCAUGGGAACCGGGUUUAACCGCUAAGACUCCUACCCGGCUCGAAGCCGACGGCCAUAGUAUGAGUUCGGGACGAGUCAGUCUACAGCCGGCUGCCUCCCUUCGUCUCCAAGCUGCAAUCCUCGGAUUAAGGAACUCGAACCGAGCAACUAAAGAAACUCACCGGAAAUGCUGAGAAUCAGGAGAGAGGAGUAGUGAGAAACGACGCCGGCUGGAGGUUGUUGGACAGCGGCAGUGGAAGUGGCCGGUCGGGUGAGGUCCAAAGAGACAAGCAAAGGGAGAUGCGGGACUGAGAGGAGGAGAAGGCAAAUGGCUUGGUGAGGGGGCGCCGGUAAUGGCUGCGACUGGUGGUGGCGACUGAGGCUAUGGACGGAGGAGGGUGGUCGACGGUGAGGUAGAGGUAAGGGGGAAUGGAGAAGAAAAGAGCGGGUGAGAUUUAGAACCAAAAAAAGAGAGUGCGCCUGAGGAUGGAGAUGAGCAAAAAGAAGACCCCGUUUGCUCUUUUCCCCGACCUUGUCUGCAAUAAAUCUCCAUUUUUCAUUUUGAACACUUUAACUUGCUCUAUUUCCACUCCAUCAUUGAUUCCUCAACCCCAUUGUUCACAUUGAAUUGACUAUAUUAUCCACUAUAAGUCUUACUCUUAACUUAGGUUUAUUUCUCACUUUGAUGAAACUAUCCAUACUCCUCCUAAACAAUAAUUAUUAAUUUUAAACAUGAGGUCUACUCUUGAUUUUAAGAUUAUCUUUGCCUUUCUUUUCUUCUUUUUUGAUUUUUUCCGUUUCUUUCUCCAUUUGAAACAAAGUUGGCGUACCUCUUUUUCCAAAAAAAAAAAAAAACAAUCGGUAAAUACUAAUUAUUUAACAAAAAAGCUAAUCAUUGUAUUGAUAGUUGUAUAUUUCUUUUUUUACUAAGAACUAUUAUUCAAAAAAUAGCCUAAGCACAAGUAAAAGGGAAAAAGAACUAUCUACCAAUUUUAGUAUGCAUUUCGUUUAUAUGUGUCAUUAUGUUGUAGUUCGUGUAUUUUAACUCGUCAACUUUCAUUUUAUUUAGUAAAUUUGAUAGUCAAAUUUUUAAUUAUUAUAUUGUGUGACGUAUUAAAUAUUUUAAGUGACCUUGAUCAGUUCCUUUUCCAAAUUAUAGUCAAUCAAACAUGAUCCAAUCUUUCUUCUCUAUUGUAUAAUGAAAAUAUUACGCAAAUCAUGAUAAUUACCUCUUCUAUUGCAACCAAGAAGAACAUAUUUGUCUCUCUUUGACUCUUUUAUAAAGACAACAUAACCUUAAGUAAGAAGAUGCGUCUGCAAACUACAUAAAAAAAAAAAAAAAAAAAAAACUCUCACGUUAGAAAAUUACCUCAUAAUGUUUCAAAUGAACUUGUUGACUUGAUUAAUUAUUGUUUUCCAUUUGCAGUUUCGCCAUCGAUGGAUACAUUUAGUCAAUUAAACAAUAUUGUCUUACAUAGUGACCACAUUACUAGAAAAAAAAUGCAAUGAAACAUAAGCAAACUGUGUAUAAUGCAUAUAUCAACCACAAUAUCAAAGUUGAAAAAUUCACCAACAUGAGGACAAUCUAAGGAAAUAAAUAAACAAUUUACAGAUAAAACUAACAUUUUUUACUCUAAUGCGUGAUUAGUGCGUCUAGAUUACAAUAAUGGAUAAUAAGUUCAGAAGAAAACAAACAUGAAAGAAAUAUUGAAAUGUAAUUGGUGUAAAAGAAGCAGUUAGGUAAAAACAAGGCUUGCACUAUUUCCACUCCUUAUUAGCUUUUGACAUGCCUAUCACAUCUAAUUGACUAUAGUGUCAUUUGCUUUCUUAACUUUUACUAUAGACGAAACUAAUCAUACUCCUUUCAAAUAAAUUUUUUUAAGAUUAAAUAUAGGGUUCAACUCUCUUGAAAAAAAAUACUUUACCCGAAUCAUAAAUAAAUUUUUUUAUUAUAUUAAUAAGAGACUCAUUAUUCACUUAAAGCAAUAUAUAUCAAGGUAUAUCUUUCAAUUUAUAGUGCGAGGAGCUCCAAGUGAAUUUGUUGACAUGAUUAAUUGAUGUUUUUCAUUUGUAGUUUCAUCAUCAAUAAAUACAUUUAAGUAAUUUGGGUUCUCUUUAAUAUUGUCCACACAUAAUAACUACACUACAAAGAACAAUACAAUGAAAUAUGACUAAAUUGUGUAUAAUGCAUCAAGUAACCACAAUACUCAAUCUUUGAGUAAAUUCUUGUAAAUUUGCAACAAAAAUUGAAAUAAAAAAAUUUUCAAUCAUGAGGAUUAUCUGAGGAAAUAAAGUUAAUAACGGGCAUAAUAAAUUUAAAAGAAGACAGACAUGAAGAAAAGUUAGAAUAAAAUGGGUUUGGAAGAAACAACUAAAGUGAAAAAAAAAAGUUGUUCGAAAGAGACGUGGGUAGUUUUGUCUUUUAAUAAAAUUGAAACAAAAGAAAAAAAAAUGGUAAGAAACUAUUUUAAUUUAGGGUAGGACCUGUAAGAGUACUGUAGUCAAAUCGAUAUGACGAAGGGGCGUGGGAGCUAAUAAUGGGAUGAAAAUAGCACGAGCUUAAAAAAAGUGUUUAAAAGGAAUAUAGAUAAUUUUGUCUUUUAAAAAAAGUUGAGACAAAAGAAAAAUAAGAAAAAAGGUGAAAAAAAAAAUCUUAAAUCAAGAUUAAGAAUCGCAAUAUUGCAGUCAAUUCAAUGUGACAAAAGUGUUAGGAGACAAUAAGAAGCGGAAAUAGUGUGCGCUUUUUCUUUUUGACCCUAUGUGCUUUUGUUGCUGUUGACCCCUCCCUUGUGUGCAAAGUAAUCCCAGAUACCCCCUUUUGUCCUAUUCAUCCACGGCCCCCCACAAAAUAGAAUAACCUAGCUUGGUGACAAGUGGGAAGCUUGCAAUGGUGAGGCUUCAGACAAGGCGCCAUGUGGCACGAGAAGUAGAAAGGCACGAUCUAGGGUCGAAUUGAGCCGAGCUUUGUCGGGCCUUGGCUUGAGCAAUUAGAUCAAUGAAGUAUGUAAUAAUGCAUACAUGUGGUGGCUCGAGCUAGAUCUUGAGCAACAAAGAUAGACAUACAUACCAUUCUAGUAAUAGAGCUAUGUUACUAGUAUGUUCAUGGAGCAAAUUAUUAGCACACUAAUGAAAUUACUAUCAUGGCUUGAAUUGGUUGACAUAUGAGAAUAACCAUUUAAAAAAAAAAAAAAAAGUUGCUAUCACGAGAUAUCACCCUAUGCUUUUCACUAUAGGACAAAUUUCCUUGCACGUUCAUAGAUUGACUUACCUAGUACUCCAUAUUAGGAGCUAUUUGUCUUAUACAUGAAUGAGAACUAAAAGUACUUCACUAUCAAUCACGCCCCUCCCCGAAGAUCCGCCGUCAGCUCCAUUUCCGUUCCCCGGGAUCCACACUGCCCGCACCCAGAGAUCUGAUCGGCCUCAAUGUGCCUAUGAAGACCGCAAAUCAUUUCAUCCAACGGCCGUGGAUGAAGGGAAACCAAAAUGGGUGAAAUCUUCCACGUAAUCUACGGCUGAUUAGUGAAUGGAGAGAGAAAUUUCCCUUGGGUGCUUUUUUCUCUUUCAGUGACAUGAAAAUAUUCGACUUUGAGUGCUAAAAACGACCACUAUCACGACACAUUUUGACUCACGCCAUUUUGGGGAGAAGUCGGUCGGUUUCGUUGAAAAAUAAAAUAAUUUUUACAUAUUAACUUGACUUUGAGCGAAUCAUGAGAGGCCUGGCCUGUCGUUACAAUAAAAGGGAAUUGAGACACGAUCCCACAGGGUGCCGAUUACGGAUUGAUGUAUUGGAAUUGAACAUGCAUAUGUCGUCUAUGUGAGCCAUCAAUUAAGAAAUUAAUCCUAAACAGCAUGUGAAUCCACUGAAUGACGUGCUGUAUGAAUAAUACAAAAAAUUAUUAAUGUGGUCUAAUUUUUUGUUUUCUCUUUUUAAUUAACAAAAAUACAAAUGACCCUAAAUUUCUACAAAUUAAAUGGAUUUCUAUUAAUCUUUAAUCAUGCUCGAGUAAAAUUGAUACGUAUGACCUAAUGUUGGCACUUGAUUUUUGCUGGCCAUUCAAAUUUCCAUUCUCGCAAAAAAGAACAAUUAUGGAAAAUAGCAAUGAUCUUCGAUCUCCAUUCUUAUCAUAGAGAAUUAUACAGGUUAUGAAAAAUAGCGAUGAAAAAUAGGAAUGAUCUUGGUUCCGCAUAACUACAGAGUCCAAUUGAUUCUCCAUAUUAGUCAUUCGUGUGCUCUCAUUUUCAUUCUCCAUUCUUGUUGUUGAAUGCGUUCAAAUAGAAGAUUUUCCUUUGGCCGUUUUGCAUUACCUUGAUUUUGCAAAAUAAAGUCAAAAGAGAUUAAGGUAGUAUAUGGAAGAGAAGUGGAAAGAAUACAGCUCUUCAAAAUUCAUCCUUUCUUAGAGUGACUCUUGUAAAAGUCCAAUCUCAUAUGAAAAUUUCUUUAUAAGUUCGAAGAGGAAACGCAUGGUGAUUAAUCAAAAUGCCCAUUCCAUAUUCCAUUAGAACUUGGUAAAAACACACGAAAGGGAGGCUUUCACUAGUUACAUCAAAAUUUGCAAAAGACAAUCCCUAUACAUUCUCUGAGAAUUGGAAAGAAAUUCCUAUAAAUCGUUACUAAAAUGCGUAAAAGAAAGUCCCAUACAUUCUGUUUAAAGAAGUAACCACUUAACAGUUAUUCUGACAAUUUCAGCAUAAUAGGCGAGAGUCUUUUGGAAUUUUCACUGAACAUAGUGAGACCAAAGCGAUGAAUUUUUUUCUAAAGUCAGAAGCAUGAAGAGAUGAUCUAUCAUAAAAUAAAGUAAUUAUUAACACAACACGUAACUCUCACCCUUCUUUGUCAUGUCUAUCACCUAGUCUAUCUUUUCGCACGAUUCUCACAAGUAUAAUCAUCAAAUCGUUAAACUCUCACCCUUUUUUUCGUAAUAAAAAAGAAUAAGUUGAUUCAUAGUGAAGGUCAUCGUGCUUUCUAGCUAUGAUUAUAUAAUGUUGUUGAUUUUCCACUGACUAGCUAACUCCAAGAUCAGAAUACACUACUUAUCCGUUCGAGAGAAAUUUUUUGAGCGGAAAGAAUGCUUACCAAACUUGUUUUUUACUACUCACGAAAAGCUCAAAAUCGGACGUGAUUCUAACAAAGACGAUCUACCCUAGAAUCGGUUUAAGUGGUCCAUGUGUUUGGAUUUGGUAGAGGGAGUUAGCAUCAUGGGAGUUCUCGGGUGAGCGUGCCUACGGUCGGGGCAACGAUGCUGUGUUUUCGGAGUGCAACGUCAACAUUGGGAAGCCAAAAUAUUAUCCUUGAUUCAAAGACAAACCACGAAGAAGAUACAUGCGAGUAUGGAUACAUCAAUGAAGGGCAUUUUGAUAAAUUAACUAUAAAGGGGUGUUUUUAAUCAAAGAAUUUUAGCACCACCCUUUUUGCAAACUAAUCUUAAUAAACAUAACAUUUUUCCUUUUUCCCAUUAAUUUUUCAACAUAUAACUUACAAGCAGGCCCAACACCUUGGUACUAAUACAUAAUGUUUAUUUACCUCCAAAAUUUGGGGGAAUUUUUGCGUAAUUUUUCAACAAAUUUAUUGUGCAACAUCAAAUUUGUAAAACAUUUGUAAGAAGAUUGUGGCAUAAUUAGGUAUGUCGAGUAUUGAAAUAUGGGAAGCAAAACUUAUAUUCCAACUCAAAAUCUCAAAUUUCCCAUUGAUGUCACUCAGGAACUGCAAAACGUAUGGUCCAUAAUCAUAGUGAGACCUUGACAAUUGGGGUGGACCUAACCCUAAUGUUGCCGAUUUAGAAGGAACACAAGAAGGCUCAUCAAUCUGUCGUAGUGAUUUUUUUUUUCUCUCUCUCAAUAACCAGCAACUCCGGUGGAUCUUUAAACACCCUUCAAGCCCUAUAAUUCAGUUAAGUUGAAGCCUUUGAUCCACAUGGAUGGCUUGACAGUGAGUAACUCGCACGCAAAUGAAAUCAUUUAAACAAACGACUUCCAAUUUUUGAACUACAACCAUUAUUGCCCUAAUAAACCACGCCAACUUCGACCGUCUAGGCAGGUUUUUUUCCUAUUAUCUUUUUCGAAGAAAUGUAACUGUUGGUAGGCCCUCACUUUUUGACAUGAGUAUGAACUUAAAAGAGCUAGUUAUAUUAGAAUAAUUAUGUUAGUGUUGAGUUGUAUAUCUUCUCAUCUACUAUGAUCUGGCCCCAUUAUGCUAGAUAUUGGUGCACGGACUCAUUUAAUUUCUAUUCAAAGUUACCACCGGUAUGAGAAUGAUAUAUAAUUAUUUUCAUAUCGGAGGUGUAACAGUCAAUCUACCUUAUGAUUGGAAAGAUAAAUGUUUGUCUGUGAUUAUUUUUAAAUAGUAAUUUCUGCAUAUAAAAAUUUUAUGAUGUGAAAUCCUAUUUUUUCAUAACGAGCUAAGGGGUAGGUAUUGUUGGCCUAGAAGUAGCAAUAAAUUGGACUUUAUUGAGAUCAUUCAUGCGCCUAUUACAAAGUAUUUGAAGUGAGCCACUAAGUACUAUACAUCAUUUGUGAUCCGAAGGUUCUCUCUUUCUUCUGACAAUUGAGGUCACGAGCGUUGGUCACUUGACUACCUUAAAGCUCAUGAAAUAUUUUGCAAGCUUUAUGCAUAUAUUAAGUUCCUCCUAUUUGGCCCAUGGAUAUAGCUUAAUCUAGCAUUUGGGCAUGGUNNNNNNNNNNNNNNNNNNNNNNNNNNNNNNNNNNNNNNNNNNNNNNNNNNNNNNNNNNNNNNNNNNNNNNNNNNNNNNNNNNNNNNNNNNNNNNNNNNNNGACGUUCUACAUGGUUUAAAAAAGAGAGAUAAAAAUAAGGAAUAUUGAAAACAUAGUAAUAUUAAAACAUUAAAGAAAGGGAAAUUCGAAAGGUAAAAGAAGGGACGGACAAGGGAGGGAAGUGGCGCACUGUUGCCUGACUUUAGCAGAUACCGACCAGGUGUCUUGCGACCUCGGUGAUCCAUGAUUAGGGUUACACAGCCCCAGCCCAAAUUAGACCUUGGCUAGCUUCUCGCGACCCAACUAGGAGUCUAGGACAAUGGCUUCUCUCCCUCCCUCUCUCUCUCUCUGGCUUUGAUUUUUUUUUUUUUUUAAAGAACAAGAUUUUGUCGAUAUUUUAUCCAGCCUAAGAAACUCGCAUGUAAGCACAAGAUUGCCCGGUCAAUGCUAACGUCAUGCCGAUGUGUCAACUCGCCUUAGUAUUUUCAUUUUUUGUUAUAACAAAACGACCAAUUCAAAUAUUAAGAAAAAGAACAUAUACUUUAAAGACCAAGUUGCACAAAAAGCAUAUAUCCCUAAUGUGUUUAAUGUUACGUUUCUAAAAAGCAUUUCUUGAUUCAAAGAAUCUAUUUAUAUUGCAAUGCAAGGGCUUUUUAUUAACUUGAUCAGUCCAUGAUACGGCGCCGUCCAAUCCGACGCGAUGCAACUCCUGCCUUACGUCUUCACGUCGACUCUCUCUCUCUCUCUCUCUCUCUCUCUCUCUCUCUCCCUGCUUUCAUUUUCAACAAGCGUACCAGGAAAGCCAAAUCCCAACUCUCUCGAACGGACCCAUUGUACCGUUAGUUAACCCAGCUUUUGUUUUGCGUUCUCUGCUGCUUUGCGUGCGUGCGUGCGAGUGACGAGUGUUUGCUAGCUAGUUUAGCUCNNNNNNNNNNNNNNNNNNNNNNNNNNNNNNNNNNNNNNNNNNNNNNNNNNNNNNNNNNNNNNNNNNNNNNNNNNNNNNNNNNNNNNNNNNNNNNNNNNNNGUGCCUAAACAACAUAGCACGAGCUGUUUGGAGAUUUAUUCAUAACGUGAAUCGCGCUCGUGACCCCAUGGAAGAUGGCCCAUUUAACUCAGGCCAACAUAUUGAAGGUCGGUCCUUCUUUUUUUACUUUUUGGUAAACUUAUUAAAGAUUGGUCACAGUUAACAUGAAGCUUCUUCAUGCAACCUUAGUAGGGAUAAAGAUGGACGGUAUCAACUGAGCUCACAUUUGAUGAGAUUUAAGCACCUUCGGUGUGAAUCUACUUUUGGAAAAUGCUGCUGCAAUUCCACACCCCUCAUAUAAAUUAGUUUUUUCUAUAAGCUCAAUAAAAUAGCUAGCGAUAGUUUGACCACGAGCAUCAUGGGAAACCUUUAUGAUAAGUUAGAAUUCUGAAUCUGUGGGUGCGUUUGUUUCCAAAAAAAAAAAAAAAGUUUCAAGAUAAAAGGACAAUAUCUUACAAAAAAUAUCUUGAAACUUUUUUCUUUCUUUUCAGGUUAGGGAAUUUGUUUUCCUACUUUAAGAAUACAUAUAUUCUUCAAUUAUAAAUAAAUUUUCUGUUUACUAAUUAUUUUCAGCAAACCAAAUGUGUAAAAGUCAGAAAAACUAAUUCAUUAAAAAAAAUUUCACUCGAAUAAGGCUAACGAACUCUUGUCACGUUUUUCUUACCUUUACCAAAAAAGAAAAAAAAAAAAAACUCUUGUCACGUUGAAUUGUUUGGGCUUGGACGCCCUUGCCCCAAAGAAAACGUAUAUAUUAAUUACUAUAAAUUUAUUUUUCUAUGUUAAGACUACUGCUAAAAGUGAAUCAUGAAAUCGAUGACUUACUGAGCCACCAGAAUCACUAACUAAUACUAAUCUAAUAUUAAUAAAAUAGAACAUACUUAUAGAAUAGAAGAAAACUGUCUUUUAUGUAUACUUCCCCAGUAACACACCCUAUAUUGAUAGUUGGGCAAUAAUUUGCUAUAUUACGAUGGUGGUUUAAGCCAUGUUAAACUUCCAAAGCCAAAGCAAUGGGUAGUAGGGUAGUGCAACCAGUCCGACUCUACUCGAAAAUUAGAUCAAACGGGCCAUAGAAACAGGUCCAAUUUCUAGUUCUAGUGGAAACAACUUCAGUUCUAAGUUCUAAAUUUUUUGAACCAAUAGUAGGGGUGAGCAUGAUCCGGGUUGGUCCGGGCCACCCCUUAACCCUAGGACCAACCCGUACAAUGUCGGUUCUCAAUUUUUAGGACCGAGGAUCGACCCUAUUGAGCUUGGGACCAAGGAUCGGACCGACCCAUUGGGUUCGGUCCGGUUCCAAGGUCAACCCAGGACCGAUCGAUAAUUUUUUUCGUCUUAUUUUUUUAUACUCCCUAAAAAAGCAAACUUAUAAAUUCAAAUUACACAUCCAUCUACAAUAUGGCAUUGUGCAACUAAACUAUAAAUANNNNNNNNNNNNNNNNNNNNNNNNNNNNNNNNNNNNNNNNNNNNNNNNNNNNNNNNNNNNNNNNNNNNNNNNNNNNNNNNNNNNNNNNNNNNNNNNNNNNUUUUGAUUCGAGUGUGUCUGAAGAGGAGGGAUUCUAAGUCCGAACAGGAAUCGAUUUUGGGUUUGUCCGUGCCGUGUUGAGGCAGGGGAUUAGGAUAGUUCCGAGGCAUUGAGGCGUUUGAUGUCUUUUUUUUUUUAUUUCUGAUGCAGUUGAAUGUUAUAGGAUCUUGAACGGACUCCUUGCAUGGUCAUAGCGUUUUGACCACCGGUCCAAUAUGCACCUCUUGGUGCUGGAAGAGGUUUCUCUUAAGGAGAGAGAGAGUCGGCAUCUAAUGGUAUCGUUGUAGAUGUUAGUCUGAUCUUACAAUUUUUGAACUGUUACUCAUUUGGCAGUUUUAUCGCCCGACUUUCCGGUUGAUUAACAUGAGCGACAUCGUGGCUCGAUUCUUGUCGAUAACAAGAGGAGUAGCUUGGUGUUGUUUUUUCCUUUGUCGAAGUGACGGAGUUCCCCCGCUGCUUUCCUUUCCUUUACCGCCAUCUCGUGCGAUUGAGGAUGUGGCAUUCCAAUCAUUUCCUAGGAACAAGUCGCUCUUAUCCAGUAUAUGUUAUGGACAGUGUUAGCCGAUAGGUGUACAAGUAUGUAAACUGUGAGUGUGGAUUGGCAAUGAGAACCAUCUAAGUUUCGAGGGUGGAACUACUCAAAACUUCACCAUAGUCUAUUUUGAAGAUUACUAAUGGAAUCCAGUCUUACUGCAGCUAUUAGUUUAGGAGACUAGACAUAAGCUUGAUAUAAGCCAAAUCAUGAUAAAUCUAAUUUGCAACAUCUUUUAUCUCUUUGCACCUUUUUCAAUAUUUUUCUGACAAGGGCAUGCUGCAUUGCAUAUAAGCAUAUUGCAUAUUUACGUCUGGUAACAUCAAGCUUUCCCUGCUUAUAUCCAAGUCCAGUUUCAAAUAACUUGUGAAAAUCUAAAAUAAUAUUAUUAUACAACAUAUUCACCCCUAUUUAGGUUGUAUCGUUAAUCUCAACAAAAAUGACGGCCUUUUGAAUGUUGCACUCUCUAAAGUUUUUGGAAAUUAUGCCGAGUAGGCCCAAUGUUCUCAUAUAUAGGAAAAUUUAUUUCUCAAAGUUCCUGGCCCUAUUUCACUUCUUUGUAAAAGCAUGCUCCAAGAAUUCACAAAUAUGUGUAAACCUUCACUUUUUCUUUUACACUUGCAUUUGAGUUUAGUUUUCAAUUUUGGAAUAUGUACUUUUUCUGAUCCAUUUUUGUCCAUAUAGUUUGGUUAUAUGGAUGUAGUAUGGUCAUAUGUCCGUGCAUGUGUGACAUAAGAUAACAACUCAAACAUUUAUAUAUUUAAAUUUACAAGCUGCUCGCAAAUCGACACCGACUGAUAGACUAUUUGUCACUACAAAUGACUUUCAGUAUUGUGAGAUUAUAUAUGCAUGCUUUCUAGGGUAUAUCAAUCUAGUAAGGCUAACGUCCUUUUUACAUUAGAACACGUUAUAAUGCCUUAAAGAAUAUUUCGCUUAAAUUUAUUGGAGAAAAAUCUACAAGUGAUUUUGAUGAUAUCCAAACUAUCCUUAAUAUAAUGUUUACUACGACAUAUGCAUAUAUAUAUUUAGAAAGGAUUACACAAUAUUGAUAGUGUGAUCUAGUAUAUGAAGUAUGCAACAGGUCCGGAAACAGUUUUUUGUGUAAAUACUACCAAUGGAUCUAAAGAUCAACUGAUGACGAUGUUCAUAUCGCAGCUACAAAUAUCAAGUCGUUGGUGUUAUAACAACCAUGAACAUCUUAUAAAGUUUGUUGGGUUAGCAAAUUAGCCAUUGUGGCUAAGGAUUUGCACAACAACAUAAUCCAGUUGAAAGUAGUAAUUUGAGAAUCCAAGUCGUCUAAUAAGUCUAUCAGAGACUACAGUGAUGGGACAGUGGCAAAUGCUAUACUUAAGUAGACUACAAAUGUUCAAGAAAAAAAGAACUAUAUGGGCAGUUCUAUUCUUGGAUAGACUCCAAUGGUUCCUUGCUUUUUUUUUUCUUCUUUUUUUCAUCCUAGAACCACCAUACAGCCGGCAGCCAGUGGCGUAAACCAGGGAAAGCACUAGCGCGGGGGCCCACCUCCCACAACACUCCACUUUAGUCACACAAUGGGGGCAUAGAGUUUCGAACCCCUUCCCUCCCGAAUGAGAGGGCAGGGCGCGAACCAGCGCGUCCACCGCAGGGUGAGUGGUUCCUUGCUUGUUUGAUCUUCUCUUAACGGGCAAAUUGGAGAUGAAUAUAAGAGAAAAGACCUAAGAAGCCAAGGAGGAGAAAGAGAACAACAUUAUCUAAAGAUUUGCAUUAUGCUUUGUUCCUAACUAUACACUCUUGCCCAAAGUGUUUCGUUAAGUUUUGUAUUCAUGAUAUUUGAGUAAUUGUGUUCUAGAUUAAAUGUAGAGGGUAAGAAUUGCAAUUGGGUCUUGAUAAUGUGAUUUAUCUUAUAAUAAGACUACUGUUUGCCUAUUGUAAUUGUCUGAGUAGCUUACACAUGCAAUCCAGCCUGAUUUGUGGCUAUUAGUCUGAAGAGUGAACGUAAACUUGGAGAUAAAGCCAAACCACUAUAUAUCAUUGUGUGUUAUUGUUUUACUCUCUCUUACUCUCACAGGCACAGAUCACAAACUUCGAAACAUCAUCUUGACCUUAUCUUUACUUAGCAUUAGCUAAUUUAUGUGAAAAAUUGUCAAGUUUUCUUUAAAAACCUAUUCACCCCCUCUAGGUUGUAUUAUUAGCUCCCAACAAAUUAGUUGCUUUGGAGCAACAAAAAGCUACUAAAAAAGUCUUGAAACUUGCUAAAUAUAAUAGAAGAUGUUCUUUUCAUAUAUUUUUCUCUCUUGAAGUAAAUACACAUAUUUUUCAUAUUCUUCCUUUUUGAAGCUUUUGGUGUUUCGGAGACAAAAAGAAUAACUCUCCAAUCAGAUUAUUCAACUGGAAAAGCAAUCGAUGCAAAAACAAACCUUGAAAUUGGAAAUUGAACAAUUGAGAAGAUCAUUAAAUGUCAUGAAGCACAUGAAAGACGAGGAUGAUACUGAAAUUUUGAAAAUAAUUAUUUUGCUAGCGGAUAUGAGGGGAAAAUAGGGGAAUCUUGAGGAUGUAGAAGUGCUGAAUCGAGCUAUCAUAGUAAAGGUGCAUAAUCGCAAUAAUGAGCUUCAAGAAGCUCGCAUAAAAUUGAUCAAUGUAAGUUUGCUUUUUCUCUUCUUUUUUUUAUGGUGAGAUUUUUAAAUUUUUUUGCAGGGAAUCAUGUUCACUUGUAUCAUUUGUCAUCUUUUUUCAUUUUUGGUUUGCUAUCUUCAGUUACUUCACUCAAUACAAGUUUCUGUUGCAGCUGUACAUCAUUGAUUGACUUAGCUAAGGUGCCAAAUUAAACUUAAUUUGCAAGUAUCAAAAGACAUACAUAGUGAUUUUAAAGUCGAUGGCAAUGUUCAAGGUUGACAGAAAACUCCAAUCCUCCAGUGAAGCUGCACCUAAAUAAGUACGUAUUUGCUUGCGCCAUAGUGACCUCCGUGACCCCCCUUUUGCUUGGGGGAUUGACCAUAACCAAUCAAAAGGGACCUCAUGGAGGCCACCACGGCGGACCCAAGGGCAUACUUCUUCUAAGGCAGCUUUACUCGAUCAACUUAGGUUAGACAUUUCCAUCGACUUUAAAAAUUACUAGAUUUGUCUUCUAAGACUUGCAAAGUAAGUCAAUUAACACCUUAGGCAAGUUAAUUAGUGGUGUACAAUAGCUACAAGAGAAACUCAUGUUGAGUGAAAUAACAGAAGACAACAUCUUCAACUAUAUGAAAUUCAAUUUAAGUCUAGUACCGAAGCUCAUUAUUCCUUACCAAUUAAUUGGGAACUCUACUUCUUUAUUAUUAUUUCAUAUCUUUAUGUGCACGGAACUUCUGGCCUUUCUUUGUGUUUUUUAUUUAGUCCCUUCAUCCCUAAACAAAUUAAUCCUCUCUUCAUUAGUCUUUUUUACCCAGAACGCUUUUCACUCUCAAGUUCAGUAAGCUCCCAUCUCUUCAAACCUCCAUUAAUCUUUUCUCUCAUUCUCGCUCAACUCACUCACCAUUCUUCGAGCAAUUCACUCAUAUCUGCACCCUUAAACCCAUGAAUUUGGAGGCAAGUGUCGUGUGCACUCAAAGAAAAGAGAUACACCCAGAACACAUGGAGAGAGAGAACGCAUGUAUCUGCAUAUAUUGAAAAUGCAUUCACUCAAACGACACUUACACAGAAGACACAUUCAGCAAAGACAAUUUGUGAUCUAACAUGUCAUCACAAACACUUACGCGGGAGAUAUCUAAUUGAGUCUCACACACGAUAAUAUAAUUCUUCAAUUUCAGUAUAUGCCUAAUGAAUUCUCCAGCAAUAACCACCAAACUUUCUCAAAUUACCACACUGACAUUACCGAAUUAUUCUAGAGAAUCGAGAGCUUAACACGUGCAAACAUGGGAGGCUUAUUAGAGUCGAGAUUCUUGGAAUUAACUAACAAAUGAAUUCAUCUAGCCUAUGCAACUAGCGCAUUGGAUGAAUAAAACAGAUGAGGUGAUCAUGGUCAGACCUGAGGUUACGUCUAUUAGUAACGCAGUUCAGAUAUUUCAAUGAAUAAUUAGUAAACAUCAAGUCAGAGAACAACACGAUGACAAGUUGGUGGAAAUCAAGACACGUUCAACAUGAAACUAUCAUUUAGAAUUGAGAUCACGGAUAUAAGCUCUGACGUGUAUGAUUUUAAAGCUAGGAAGAACUAGAUUCUCAUCCUCUGUUUUCAUUUUCAUACAUCUAAACCAGAAGAUACUCAGUUAGAUCUAGCGAAAGGUAAUUACCUGCAGCGACGGCUGAUGGCUUUGAACAAAACAAUCACCGAGGCGCUCUAGAAGGCUUGAAUUUGCGAAGGAGUCGAUGGCAGCAACUGGUCGAACUUUUCAUUCAACAAUGGCACUCCAAAAACAGGGACAAGCAGGAAAAUUCCAGAGCAGCUCGGCGAUGACGAACAGCCGCUGUAGGCAGGGUUACGACAUCCUGAAAUGGUGCACCAUGAAUGCUGAUGUCAAUUAACCGUGAAGAAACUCCUGGAAAGCGAUGGGAUCAAAGUGUGUUUAAACUACCGUUAGACCCUCAAUCAGUAUGGUUUUCUCCCCUCAAACCUCGGUCACAUAACUAGGACUUGACCCACCAGAGCAGAGCAGAGAUGCAGUUGCAGUAAUUACCUCGGAGAUGCAGCAGAAGGUCACGAACAACGAUCGAACGGAGAACUCAAAAGUCCCGGGAGCAUCUCCACCGAUGGUCCGGGCUAUGGGGGGAAGAAAUCUCGACUGAGAUCUGAGCUUUCCGGACUACCCUCUGGCGGAACAGGGGCGAAUAGAGAGGUGGUGGAGGUCUGCAAAAUCUAAAACAAAACUCGUGAGAGCUUUCUAGGGACUCAUUGCAACUCCAAAACUGAUGCUCUGUCUUCUUGCUCUGGUGUUCUCUCGGCUAAAGAGUUUCAAAUAUCAGCAAUUACUGUAACUUUUUUUCUCCUAAACCGGACAAGGCAUAUAGAUAUUAUGUUAUUAGUACCAAAGUGCG
rnacentral:lncRNA from 1 species